GACUCCCUGUAGUUAUCGACAGCCGGUUAUGUCCUUGAGCCGAUAAUACCAGUUUGGAAGGGGCCCGCUUUGGUUCUGUGCAUGUCCGCUUGACGGAAAGCCUUCUAUCAGACAGCCGCUUCCCCCUUGAACCUUCGGGUUCAGGGCCUCUACCGGAAACGCAACUGUGGGGAGUCC
rnacentral:other from 1 species